rnacentral:rRNA from 1 species
CCCUUAGAUGUCCUGGGCCGCACGCGCGCUACACUGAUGCAUUCAACGAGUUUUACCUUGGCCGAGAGGCCUGGGCAAUCUUUUGAACCUGCAUCGUGAUAGGGAUAGAUUAUUGCAAUUAUUAAUCUUGAACGAGGAAUUCCUAGUAAACGCAGAUCAUCAAUCUGCAUUGAUUACGUCCCUGCCCUUUGUACACACCGCCCGUCGCACCUACCGAUUGAAUGGUCCGGUGAAGCCUCGGGAUUGUGGCGAAUUCCCUUUAUUGGGAGUUUGUCGCGAGAACUUGUCUAAACCUUAUCAUUUAGAGGAAGGUGAAGUCGUAACA